AGGGGGCGGAGGCCAGGGGCCCGCCCCCAGCUGCCCGCCGCCCUGCCUGGCCGCCCUCCCGGAGUCCACGUGGGGGCCGGGCCACCAGCAGGCAUUUCCUCCCGCACGCGGCCCACACACCGCCGCAAGCUCCCGCGGCCUUGCCAGCGGGCUGCGCCGCCAUCGGCCGAGGAGCGAGGGGCCUUCGCGGCCCUGUGUGAGGCCGGACCCCGGCUCCCGGUCCAGGAUGGGUCUGGCCCGGCUGCCGUCCCAAGGCACGGCGCCCCAGUCUCCUCCGGGCGGCCCUGACCCUGCCCGGCCCACAGGUGACGGCAAACGCUGAAGCCGCCGCUCUCGGAGGCCGUCAGCGCGGGAACCUGCUCCUGCUACAGCCCAGAAACACACAGCGCCGUUCAAUUUUACUAAUACCCGUCGCUUUGGGACAUGAAAGCUCCACUCCAACCGCCUGCUUUUCACUUAAGAAGCACUCUGCCCCGACUUGGGGUCGGGGUGGGGGUCCGGGGAGGGAACAGAAUCAAACCAGGUCCUUGGCAGAUGCGGCGAGGCCUCCAGACCGCUUCCCACACACUCGCCUGGCCUCACCCUGAGCACAGGGGUCAGUGGUGGCCACGGUCCCACGGUCACAGCACGAGACCCCUGGGCACCCCAUCUGGAGACCUCCUUCCCAAGGCCCACCCGCCACGGAAACUGCCACGAGGCCCCUCCUUUGAGCCAUUUCCAGCCAGCGAGGGACUGUGGUCACGGGGUCCGAGAGGGUCCCUGGGGGCCAUACCGGGCUCUGGCCCUUCCCUCAGCUGCCCUCCCGUCCCUCCGGCCCCGGCCCCCCACCCAAUGAUCAUCUCUCCCCAGCCCUGCCCCUCCCAACCUCCCCAGUCCCCCUAGGGCAGAUGGUCUGUCCUGAACUCUAAGUCCACACCCUCCAGAGGCCUGGCCGGCAGGACCACCCUGUGCCCACCCCAGGAGCCGGCAGGUUCUCCUGCCUCCUCUCCGGUCUGGGCCCUAAGGACUCCUCGGGACAGUUGCUCACCAGCGCUACUGGGAACCCCGGAUCCCAGAGCCAGGCAACCAAGGACUCCCCUCUCUUACCAGCUUUGCGGGCCUCACCCCUGCCCGCUGGCCCGGCCAACCUCUCCUUCCUCACGUACCCCCACAGCAGGGGGCUGGCCCUCGACCCGGAGGGCCCGGGUCCCUCCUCCUUCCCCUGCCUGCUGCCAGGAAGCCACACCCGGACCCCUUCCGGCAGCUGCCCUGCCUCGUGGACUCCGGCCACCCAUCCCUCGAACCGCUGCCCCUUGCCCUGGCGGGACCCCUCGCCCCAGGCCUCCCCGCUGAGUGGCCGGCUCCACCUUCGGCACUGCAGAGGCUGGGACUCCCAUCCUGCAGCCGGGUCCCUCUGACACAUCUCCUGACCCCUUCAUGCCUCAGCUUUCUCACCUGUAGAGUGGGGCCCAGCACAGCUGUGAUUUGGGGAACAAGGGCCCAGCCCGGCCGGCAGCGAACACCUACCACUCAGCAGCCACCGCCGAGUCUGCGCGAUCGAUCCCUAGAGACCGAAGGAAGCAACUGAAGGAACAGAUCACCUGGGAUCCCACGGCUAACUGCCGUCUGCACAUGUGCACGUCUGUGCCGAGCGGGACACGGUAAACCACGUCCCAGGUCACUCUGUCAGGGCCACCACAGCUGUGCUACGGAAACCGACGGUGCCAGACCACCUCCGGUGGCCCUGAGUGGUCCUUCAACCAUUUGGAGCUUAGAGAAGCCAGCCCCGUGCACCCAGAGAGAAGACGACAGUAAGCCGCGGAGCAUAUGGCUCGGCGCGCUGUGGCCUAGCAGUUCACGGCAGCCUGGCGGCCAGGACGGCACCAUGGGCCAGGCCGUGUUCACGGCACCCCAGCAGUAAUAACUCUGUUCUCCUUACAAGACCCCCAGGUCCACAGCUGACUUUAAUCUGCUUGCGGUGCAACGUAUAGAAAACGCGCUGCUUUCUGCGUGUGGACGGACGAAGGCCCACUUUCCCAGCACCGUGGGCUCAACGACACCCUUCCUCUGAUCAACAGCCGUCAGCCCCGGUCGAUCACUUGGCCAUAUUCCUGGCUCUACUUUGGGAUCUCUUUUCUGUUCCAUUGGUCUGUAGCUCUGUCCUUUUGCCAGAGUACUGUCCUGGUGGCUGUAACUUUACAAGAAAUCAUGAAAUCAGAGUGUGAGUCCCUAAACUUUUGGCUAUUCUAGUUCCUCUGCUUUUCCACAUAAAAUCUUAGACCUACUUUGUAGACUUCUACCGAAACACCACCCAGAGGUCUGGAGUGGAACUGCACUGAACGGGGGCUCGGCCAGAGGGGGGUCACCGCACUAGCAUCACAGAGUCUCCAUGACACAAACACAACGUGCCUCCCCGUCCCUUCACGUGGUCUCUGGCGUCCCUCGUACAUGGCUCACAGGCCUCUACGCGCAGGUGUUGACGCCAGUACGUUUACGUCAGGCCCCUCCUCUGUCAGCGCCACGUAAGGCUCCAACCGUUCGUGGCCAAGGGGACAAAGAUGUCGCCGCAGAGUCCUGGCACACUGCCAGCAAAUGCGCUUACGCUAGUAAGGUUCCCGUGGACCCUCUGUGAGCCUGUGAACCGCAGUCGUAUCUUCACCCACACGGGGACUUUCAGUUCCUUCUCUCAGAUCGGCCCGGCCAGGACCCUCGGGACCACACUGAGCAGGGGAGGUGACGCCAGGCGUCCCUGCCCCGCCGUCGGGCAUGAGGUCAGCCGUGGGCUCUAAAGACGCCUUCACGGGCUGAGAGGUCCCCUCAGUCCUUAGUUUGCUGACAGUUUGCGUGAGACGUGGUUACAGAAUUU